UGAUGGCGACCGGCGCACGGGUGAGUAACACGUAUCCAACCUGCCGAUAACUCGGGGAUAGCCUUUCGAAAGAAAGAUUAAUACCCGAUGGCAUAAUUAGACCGCAUGGUCUUAUUAUUAAAGAAUUUCGGUUAUCGAUGGGGAUGCGUUCCAUUAGGCAGUUGGUGAGGUAACGGCUCACCAAACCUUCGAUGGAUAGGGGUUCUGAGAGGAAGGUCCCCCACAUUGGAACUGAGACACGGUCCAA
rnacentral:rRNA from 1 species